GACGAACGCUGGCGGCGUGCUUAACACAUGCAAGUCGAACGGGAUUUAGUAAACAGAAGCCUCGGUGGAAGAUUACUAAUGAGAGUGGCGAACGGGUGAGUAACGCGUGAGCAACCUGCCUAUGACAGUGGGAUAGCCUCGGGAAACCGGGAUUAAUACCGCAUAAAAUCGUAGAAACACAUGUUUUAACGGUCAAAGAUUUAUCGGUCAUAGAUGGGCUCGCGUCUGAUUAGCUAGUUGGUGAGAUAACAGCCCACCAAGGCGACGAUCAGUAGCCGGUCUGAGAGGAUGAACGGCCACAUUGGAACUGAGACACGGUCCAAACUCCUACGGGAGGCAGCAGUGGGGAAUAUUGCACAAUGGGGGAAACCCUGAUGCAGCGACGCCGCGUGAACGAAGAAGGUAUUCGUAUCGUAAAGUUCUGUCCUAUGGGAAGAUAAUGAUAGUACCAUAGAAGAAAGCUCCGGCGAAAUACGU
rnacentral:rRNA from 1 species